rnacentral:rRNA from 1 species
GACGAACGCUGGCGGCGUGCUUAACACAUGCAAGUCGAACGAGAAUCUGUGGAAAGAGGAUUCGUCCAAUUGAAGCAGAGGACAGUGGCGGACGGGUGAGUAACGCGUGAGGAACCUGCCUUUCAGAGGGGUACAACAGUUGGAAACGACUGCUAAUCCCGCAUGACUCAUAGGUGUCGCAUUGCACUUAUGCCCACGAUUUAUCGCUAAAAGAUGGCCUCGCGUCUGAUUGGCUAGUUGGUUAGGUAACGGCCCACCAAGGCGACGAUAAGUAGCCGGACUGAGAGGUAGAACGGACACAUUGGGAAUGAGAUACGGCCCAGACUCCUACGGGAGGCAGAAGUGGGGAAUAUUGGGCAAUGGGCGCAAGCCUGACCCAGCAACGCAGCGUGAAGGAAGAAGGCUUUCGGGUUGUAAACUUCUUUUGUCAGGGACGAGUUGAAGACGGUACCUGACGAAUAAGCCACGGCUAACUACGUGCCAGCCGCCGCCGUAA